rnacentral:lncRNA from 1 species
AAUUGGCUUCUUUGAUUUCAACAGGCUUUCCCUCGGCCUCAGACUGGAACCUUCUUGAGAAGUUGAGGAGAAUCUUGCACAGAGAAAUGUUACGUUAUACAAAGAUUGUGUUAAAGGUUGCAAGAGGGUAAUCAAAACAGAGCAAGAAAAGGGUAAGAGAUGGAAGACCUAAGUUGUUGUUAAGGGUUUUAAUGAACAUGAGCUUUUGCCUGGACCAUUCUCUUUCAAGCUCACUCAUCUGCUGCUUCAAUCGCUCGUGUGAAUCCUCUCUUUUUUACCAUUUUUUUCUUACUUCAAUAUAUUAAGAGUAGAAUGAACACAGAAUUCGGUUUAUAAAAACACAGAGUCAGAUGAAAAUUC